rnacentral:rRNA from 1 species
GAUGAACGCUAGCGGCAGGCUUAAUACAUGCAAGUCGAGGGGCAGCGGGGGUAGCAAUACCUGCCGGCGACCGGCAAACGGGUGCGGAACACGUACACAACUUUCCUUUAAGUGGGGAAUAGCCCGGGGAAACCCGGAUUAAUACCCCGUAACAUUAUGAAAUGGCAUCAUUUUAUAAUUAUAGCUCAGGCGCUUAAAGAUGGGUGUGCGGCUGAUUAGGUAGUUGGCGGGGUAACGGCCCACCAAGCCUACGAUCAGUAACUGGUGUGAGAGCACGACCAGUCACACGGGCACUGAGACACGGGCCCGACUCCUACGGGAGGCAGCAGUAAGGAAUAUUGGUCAAUGGACGCAAGUCUGAACCAGCCAUGCCGNGUGGAGAUGAAGGUCCUCUGGAUUGUAAACUUCUUUUAUCUGGGAAGAAAUCCAUAUUUUCUAAUGUGUUGACGGUACCAGAUGAAUAAGCACGGCUAACUCCGUGCCAGCCG